UACUUCAUAUGUCUUAUAUCUGUGGGGAAAAUAUUAAUACAUGAUUCUUUACUUGCAUUUCUUACCAAACAGUUAACCCAUGCAUGAACCUUCCGGGGCCACAUCUGGGUUUGUGUGAAAACAUAAACUCUUUUUGUAAUUUUUUUUAAAUUAUAUUUUCUUUGACGAAAUGAUUAAACUGCUAAAAGGCUUGGAUGAAGAUGCUAAGAAAUGAAAAAUGUGUCAACACACUGUGCUUUGUGGUCAGUUGUGGUCAGUUAACCUGAUGCAAGCCUAUUUGUCAGCCUUUGUCUUCCUCGAAGCUAAAACCUAGUCUGCUCCUAAAAACGUUAUUUUGAAAAAGCAUUACACAUGUCAGACAUCACUAGCUGUAUUGUAAUGGCCGUACAGACUUAAACUCCUAAAGAAAAUCCAGACAAUCGACAUUGACUAUUAGGAUACAGCUUCAAGCCUAGGAAAGUUUGCUUAUAUAUAUGCAUACAUUAAUU